UACGGAGGGGGCUAGCGUUGUUCGGAAUUACUGGGCGUAAAGAGCUCGUAGGCGGUCUGCCGCGUCGGCUGUGAAAUCCCGAGGCUCAACCUCGGGUCUGCAGUCGAUACGGGCAAACUAGAGUAUUGCAGGGGAGACUGGAAUUCCUGGUGUAGCGGUGAAAUGCGCAGAUAUCAGGAGGAACACCGGUGGCGAAGGCGGGUCUCUGGGCAAUAACUGACGCUGAGGAGCGAAAGCGUGGGGAGCGAACAGG
rnacentral:rRNA from 1 species